rnacentral:rRNA from 1 species
AUUGAACGCUGGCGGCAUGCUUUACACAUGCAAGUCGAACGGUAACAGGCCGCAAGGUGCUGACGAGUGGCGAACGGGUGAGUAAUGCAUCGGAACGUGCCCAGUCGUGGGGGAUAACGCAGCGAAAGCUGCGCUAAUACCGCAUACGAUCUAUGGAUGAAAGCGGGGGACCGUAAGGCCUCGCGCGAUUGGAGCGGCCGAUGUCAGAUUAGGUAGUUGGUGGGGUAAAGGCUCACCAAGCCAACGAUCUGUAGCUGGUCUGAGAGGACGACCAGCCACACUGGGACUGGGACACGGCCCAGACUCCUACGGGAGGCAGCAGUGGGGAAUUUUGGACAAUGGGCGCAAGCCUGAUCCAGCAAUGCCGCGUGCAGGAAGAAGGCCUUCGGGUUGUAAACUGCUUUUGUACGGAACGAAACGGUCCUGGUUAAUACCCGGGGCUAAUGACGGUACCGUAAGAAUAAGCACCGGCUAACUACGUGCCAGCCGCCGCUGUAAUAC